UACAGAGGUCUCAAGCGUUGUUCGGAUUCAUUGGGCGUAAAGGGUGCGUAGGUGGCGCGCUAAGUCGGACGUGAAAUCCCCAGGCUCAACCUGGGAACUGCGUCCGAUACUGGAUGGCUUGAAUUCGGGAGAGGGAUGCAGAAUUCCAGGUGUAGCGGUGAAAUGCGUAGAUAUCUGGAGGAAUACCGGUGGCGAAGGCGGCAUCCUGGACCGACAUCGACGCUGAUGAGCGAAAGCUAGGGGAGCAAACGGG
rnacentral:rRNA from 1 species